UUGGCGGACUGCUCAGUAACACGUGGAUAACCUACCCUUGGGACUGGAAUAACCCCGGGAAACUGGGGAUAAUACCGGAUAGAUCAGGGAUGCUGGAAUGCACCUUGAUCCAAAGCUCCGGCGCCCAAGGAUGGGUCUGCGGCCUAUCAGGUAGUAGUGGGUGUAACGUACCUACUAGCCAACGACGGGUACGGGUUGUGAGAGCAAGAGCCCGGAGAUGGAUUCUGAGACACGAAUCCAGGCCCUACGGGGUGCAGCAGGCGCGAAACCUUUACAAUGUGCGAAAGCAUGAUAAGGGAACUCCGAGUGCCAGCAUCUAAUGUUGGCUGUCCUUGUGCCUAAAACGCACAAGAUAGCAAGGGCCGGGUAAGACCGGUGCCAGCCGCCGCGGUAACACCGGCGGCCCGAGUGGUAGCCGCUAUUAUUGGGUCUAAAGGGUCCGUAACCGGUUCGAUAAGUCCUCUGGGAAAUCUGGUUGCUUAACAAUCAGACUGCCAAGGGAUACUGUCGAACUUGAGACCGGGAGAGGUAAGAGGUACUUCAGGGGUAGGAGUGAAAUCUUGUAAUCCCUGGGGGACCAUCUGUGGCGAAGGCGUCUUACCAGAAGGGUCUGACGGUGAGGGACGAAAGCUGGGGGCGCAAACCGGAUUAGAUACCCGGGUAGUCCCAGCCGUAACGA
rnacentral:rRNA from 1 species